CGCGCACGGAAUUCCGGACAUCGAAUCGAACCAAAGUGAAUUAUUCAGCGACAUUUAUCCCGGCGUCCCUACUCGUCCCAACUCAGUAAAGGCCUCUGUCAGACCCUCAAUUGCCUGCCUGGAGGAUUUGAGCCCGCCCGCCCAUAGGCAUAUUAAGAGUUAGACGCUGCUGAGGCGCAAGAAACACGGCGCCAAUUCUUGGAAAAGACACGUGAUUUUGGCACGAUGGCCUCUGGUCACUCAAGUGUACAACUUCGUCAUCUUUGGCGGAAUUGAUGGCUAUUCAAGAAAGAUCAUGUACCUGAAGAUAGCGGACAACAGUCGGUCAGACACUCACUUGGCCUUUUUCAAUGAAGCUGUGAAUGAGCACAGGUUUCCUCUAAGAGUAAGAGGAGAUCAUGGAGGAGAAAAUGUUGGAGUUGCUGAAUUAAUGUUCAGUUCGUGGCACUGAUAUCAACAGCUUCAUUGCGGAGAAAAGUGUACACAAUCAACGAAUUGAACGGCUCUGGCGUGAUGUGUUCAUGAGUGUAACUGGAGUAUACUACAAAAUCCUGCACUCUCUUGAAGAACAACACAUGCUGGACAUCAGCAACAUCCUACACAUAUUCUGCUGCCACUACGUUUUCCUCCCACGGAUCCAGGCCAGCCUGGAUGUUUUCUGUGAUGCAUGGGACAACCAUCCCAUCAGGACGGAGGAAAACCUGACACCUAAUCAGUUGUGGCAGGUGGGACAGGCCCUGAAUCCCAUUGCAGAUCCUGAUCCCCAGGGUCUGUUCAUUCCGGAGAUCGAAUGGGAGGAGAGUGGAUUCAUCAACGACAUUUAUCCCGGCAUCAAUGUCCCUACUCAGGAAAGUCCUCUCUCAGACCCUCAAAUGAUGGAACUGCAGGACAACAUUGAUCCACUGCAAGAGUCAGAUUGUUUUGGAGUGGAAAUAUAUCUCAGCACUGUCCAAUAUGUUGAGAACCUACUUCAGGCAACAUAAACACACACACACGUCAGUGCUAGAGUUUAGUUUAGUUUCUGGGUCAUAGUUAUCUUUGAUCAACCUAUGUGAUCUUAAUUUUGGUUUUCACUAGUAUGAUAGGAAGUGAAUGUAUCUUGUCAAAGCUAAGCUACUUGUUUAUUGUGGACUUUGUUUUUAUGGGAAAUAACAAAUGCACUACAGUAGGUGAAAAUUGUGUGAUGUGCCUCCAAUCAUUUAA